AUUUCUGAAUUAUUCAGUGUUGUCCACGUACUAGUUGUCAUAAACAGACUUUCGAUCUCUUUAUGAUGGCAGUACAGCAGAUCACUUAAGGAUUGCUAAGACAUGAAUUAACGUUUCUAACACUUGACAAAGUUACAACAUCCUACGUUGAAAAUGGACUAGACGAUACUGAUAAUAAUAAUGGUUUUAUGCAAAGUACGAGUAAUGGAUUGCAGUGCAACAGAUCACUCAAGGCUUGCUGAGCAUGAAUUAACAUUUUUAGUGCUUG